rnacentral:rRNA from 1 species
UACGGGGGGGGCAAACGUUGCUCGGAAUCACUGGGCGUAAAGGGCGCGUAGGCGGGAAUGUAAGUCGGGCGUGAAAUCCCCAGGCUCAACCUGGGAACUGCACUCGAAACUGCGUUUCUUGAGUAUCGGAGAGGAAAGCGGAAUUCCUGGUGUAGAGGUGAAAUUCGUAGAUAUCAGGAGGAACACCAGUGGCGAAGGCGGCUUUCUGGACGGUAACUGACGCUGAGGCGA